rnacentral:rRNA from 1 species
AUUGAACGCUGGCGGCAUGCUUUACACAUGCAAGUCGAACGGCAGCGCGGGCUUCGGCCUGGCGGCGAGUGGCGAACGGGUGAGUAAUAUAUCGGAACGUACCCAGAAGUGGGGGAUAACGUAGCGAAAGUUACGCUAAUACCGCAUACGAUCUACGGAUGAAAGCAGGGGACCGCAAGGCCUUGUGCUUUUGGAGCGGCCGAUAUCUGAUUAGCUAGUUGGUGAGGUAAAGGCUCACCAAGGCGACGAUCAGUAGCUGGUCUGAGAGGACGACCAGCCACACUGGAACUGAGACACGGUCCAGACUCCUACGGGAGGCAGCAGUGGGGAAUUUUGGACAAUGGGGGCAACCCUGAUCCAGCAAUGCCGCGUGAGUGAAGAAGGCUUUCGGGUUGUAAAGCUCUUUUGUCAGGGAAGAAACGGGAGUGGCUAAUAUCCAUUCCUAAUGACGGUACCUGAAGAAUAAGCACCGGCUAACUACGUGCCAGCCGCCGCAGUAA